CCCUUAGACGUUCUGGGCCGCACGCGCGCUACACUGACCAGUGCAACAAGCAUCCGUCCUUGGCCGACAGGCCCGGGCAAUCUUUGAACGCUGGUCGUGAUGGGGAUAGACUUUUGCAAUUUUUGGUCUUCAACGAGGAAUUCCUAGUAAACGCAGGUCAUCAACUUGCAUUGAUUACGUCCCUGCCCUUUGUACACACCGCCCGUCGCACCUACCGAUUGAAUGGUCCGGUGAAGCCUCCGGAUUGGCGCGCACCUCGGUGCCGCCGAGAAGUUGGCUAAACCUUACCAUUUAGAGGAAGGUGAANUCGUANCA
rnacentral:rRNA from 1 species